AUACGAAUGGAGCAAGCGUUGUUCGGAAUCACUGGGCGUAAAGCGUACGUAGGCGGAUUUUUAAGUCAGAAGUGAAAGCCCAGGGCUCAACCCUGGAACUGCUUUUGAAACUGGAAGUCUAGAGUCCCGGAGAGGUUAGGGGAAUUCCGAGUGUAGCAGUGAAAUGCGCAGAUAUUAGGACGAACACCAGUGGCGUAGGCGCCUAACUGGACGGGAACUGACGCUGAGGUACGAAAGCGUGGGGAGCAAACGGGAUUAGAAACCCUAGUAGUCC
rnacentral:rRNA from 1 species